rnacentral:rRNA from 1 species
CAAUAGCGUAUACUAAAGUUGUUGCAGUUAAAAAGCUCGUAGUUGAAUUUCUGGUCGUGGCGAUCGGUCCGCCCCUCACGGGGUGUGCACCUGGUCUCUACGUCCAUCCUCGGGGAGAGCACAUCUGGCAUUCAGUUGUCGGGUGUGGGAUCCUCGUCAUUUACUGUGAGCAAAAUUAGAGUGUUCAAAGCAGGCUUAGGCCGUUGGAUACAUUAGCAUGGAAUAAUGAGAUAGGGCCACGACGGUCUAUUUUGUUGGUUUGCACGUUGUGGUAAUGAUUAACAGGAACGGUUGGGGGUAUUCGUAUUCAAUUGUCAGAGGUGAAAUUCUUGGAUUUAUGGAAGACGAACUACUGCGAAAGCAUUUACCAAGGAUGUUUUCAUUAAUCAAGAACGAAAGUUAGGGGAUCGAAGACGAUCAGAUAUCAU